rnacentral:rRNA from 1 species
UACGGGGGGGGCAAGCGUUGUUCGGAAUUACUGGGCGUAAAGGGCUCGUAGGCGGCCAACUAAGUCAGACGUGAAAUCCCUCGGCUUAACCGGGAAACUGCGUCUGAUACUGGAUGGCUUGAGUUUGGGAGAGGGAUGCGGAAUUCCAGGUGUAGCGGUGAAAUGCGUAGAUAUCUGGAGGAACACCGGUGGCGAAGGCGGCAUCCUGGACCAACACUGACGCUGAGUGAGCGAAAGCCAGGGGAGCAAACGGG